rnacentral:rRNA from 1 species
GACGAACGCUGGCGGCGUGCUUAACACAUGCAAGUCGAACGGGUCUGCCCUGUUUUUUGCGGGGUGGGUCAGUGGCGAACGGGUGAGUAACACGUGAGUAACCUGCCCCUCACUUCUGGAUAACCGCUUGAAAGGGUGGCUAAUACGGGGUGUUCUGGCUGUGCCGCAUGGUGUGGCUGGGAAAGAUUCACUUUUGUGGUGUUUUGGUGGGGGAUGGGCUCGCGGCCUAUCAGCUUGCUGGUGGGGUGAUGGCCUGCCAAGGCUUUGACGGGUAGCCGGCCUGGGAGGGUGGGCGGUCACACUGGGACUGAGGUACGGCCCGGACUCCUGCGGGAGGCAGCAGUGGGGGGUAUUGCACAAUGGGCGGAAGCCUGAUGCAGCGACGUCGCGUGAGGGAUGGAGGCCUUCGGGUUGUGAACCUCUUUCGCCGGUGAAGAAGGUCCUGCUCUUUGUGGUGGGGUUGACGGUAGCCGGGUUAUGAAGCGCCGGCUAACUACGUG